UUAGAGUGUUUAAAGCAGGCUCGCGCUUGAAUACAUUAGCAUGGAAUAAUGAAUAGGACGUUUGAUUCUAUUUUGUUGGUUUCUAGGAUGACGUAAUGAUUAAUAGGGAUAUUUGGGGGCAUUAGUAUUCAAUUGUCAGAGGUGAAAUUCUUGGAUUUAUUGAAGACUAACUACUGCGAAAGCAUUUGCCAAGGAUGUUUUCAUUAAUCAAGAACGAAAGUUAGGGGAUCGAAGACGAUCAGAUACCGUCGUAGUCUUAACCAUAAACUAUGCCGACUAGGGAUCGGAUGAUGCUAAUUUUUUAAUGACUCAUUCGGCGCCUUACG
rnacentral:rRNA from 1 species